GGAGGAAAGUAGGGGAUCGAAAGACCUUAUGCUUUUGGAGCGGCCGAUGUCUGAUUAGCUAGUUGGUAAGGUAAUGGCUUACCAAGGCAACGAUCAGUAGUUGGUCUGAGAGGACGACCAGCCACACUGGGACUGAGACACGGCCCAGACUCCUACGGGAGGCAGCAGUGGGGAAUUUUGGACAAUGGGCGCAAGCCUGAUCCAGCAAUGCCGCGUGAGUGAAGAAGGCCUUCGGGUUGUAAAGCUCUUUCAGUUGAGAAGAAAAGAUUGUAACUAAUAAUUGCGAUCCAUGACGGUAUCAACAGAAGAAGCACCGGCUAACUACGUGCCAGCAGCCGCGGUAAUACGUAGGGUGCGAGCGUUAAUCGGAAUUACUGGGCGUAAAGGGUGCGCAGGCGGUUCUGUAAGUCAGAUGUGAAAUCCCCGGGCUUAACCUGGGAACUGCGUUUGAAACUACAAAGCUAG
rnacentral:rRNA from 1 species